CGCUCGAGACCGUGACGAUCGUGCCGCUGCCCCACGCGUCAAUACGAGACCCACGCAGCACCAUAACAACCAGCACAACAGGCUUUGGCACAGAAAUAGGUGGCGGAAUCCUCGUCCCUGAGGCUGU